CAUCGCGGGACUGCAAAACACUCCGUCCUUGGGUCAUUUUUCAGAGGAAACGGCUGAACGAACUCCAGUUACAUUUAACUGCUGCCGCAACAGGGCACCAGCCUGUCUGUUUAAGCUUUAGAAAAUUGGAAUUAUAAAUACAAUAUUCCUGCAGAGGAACACUUCUAAACUCUGCUCCUGCAGACGCUUAGAAAACAGAGCUCCAACUU